GACAUGUACGGAAUCUUUAGAGAUAGAGGAGUGCUCGAAAGAGAGCCGUAACACAGGUGCUGCAUGGCUGUCGUCAGCUCGUGUCGCGAGAUGUUGGGUUAAGUCCCGCAACGAGCGCAACCCUUGUCAUUAGUUGCUACAUUCAGUUGGGCACUCUAAUGAGACUGCCGGUGACAAACCGGAGGAAGGUGGGGAUGACGUCAAGUCCUCAUGGCCCUUAUAGGUGGGGCUACACACGUCAUACAAUGGAUGGUACAAAGGGUCGCCAACCCGCGAGGGGGAGCCAAUCCCAUAAAGCCAUUCGUAGUCCGGAUCGCAGUCUGCAACUCGACUGCGUGAAGUCGGAAUCGCUAGUAAUCGUGGAUCAGCAUGUCACGGUGAAUACGUUCCCGGGUCUU
rnacentral:rRNA from 1 species